rfam:Glarea lozoyensis 74030 unplaced genomic scaffold M7I_scaffold25, whole genome shotgun sequence.
GGGGGCAUGGUUUAGUGGUAUAAUGUUUCGUUUGCAUUGAUCCAAUAGGUCAAUACGUCUCGAAAAGGUCGCGAGUUCGAUUCUUGCUGCCUCCA